CCCUAUUCAGCACUUGCUAAUGAAGCAGGGAGGAGGCAAGCACUAGAGCUUCAGACACAGCUGCAGCAAUACACUUAAAUCUAGUUCCUUCUCCAAAGCCACAGCCCUCUUCAGUCAAGCCGCUUUUGCUCUAAUUCUAAAACACUGAAAAUAGUAAAUAAAUCUUUCUCUCCCAGAACUUUACUAUAAUCAAAGAAAAAGCACCAACUCUAUAGAACAUAGGAAAAAUAAGUCCUAAUGCACUAGACGGCUCAAUCACCUGCAGGAUGGCAGCCCCACCUCUGGGAAAUCUAAACCAGGAUCCUGAAGCUAGGCUAACCUGGACUACAACAUUUGUCCCUCUUUUAAAAGGGAAAAACCAAAAACCAAAACCACAAACAAACAAACAAACAAACAGUGGCCAGGAGUGGCAUGCCUUUAAUCCCAACAGUCAGGAGAAAAAGGGAGGUGGAUCUCUGAGUUUGAGGCCAGCCUGGUCUACACAGAGUCUCAAGAAAAAAAAGUUGCAAGUUCAUGGGACACACACAUUGAUAUACUUGAUGGUGAGGCUCCCCAUCUUUCAGAAGGGAUCAAGGUAAUCAAAGAACUGACAAUAGGUAGCUGAUCCUGGCUUAAAUGUAUCACUUACAAUAAACUGUACCUGCACAGCUAAGAGAAGUAUCUACACCUACACUUCUUGAGCUUAAGAAUCACUCCCCUAAGCCGGGUGGUGGUAGCACAGGCCUUUAAUCCCAGCACUUGGGAGGCAGAGGCAGGUGGAUUUCUGAGUUUGAGGUCAGCCUGGUCUACAGAGUGAGUUCCAGGACAGCCAGGGCUAUACAGAGAAACCCUGUCUCGAAAAACCAAAAAAUAAAAAAAAUUAAAAAAAAAAAAUCACUCCCCUAAACCAAUAAAAGUUAAGGAUGAGCUUUAAAAAAAAAAGAAAAAAAGAGAAAAAAGAAAAAGAAAAAAAGGAAAAGGCAUACCAGCAUAGCCUGCAAUCCCUGACUCAAAUUAAGGCGCAUUGGGGCCAGUAAGGACUUCAAAAUGAGACUCUAUCUGGAGAGGAGGAGAGCAAGGAGAAAAAGAACUUCUGGCAAGAUGUGGUGACUCGCAACUUUGUUCCCAGCACUCAGGAAGCAGAGACAAGAGGAUCUCCAAAAGUUAAGAGGCCACUCAGGCACUCAGGCUACACACUGAGAUCCUGUGCAAUAAAAGACUCUUCCAGGGCUGGUGAGAUGGCUCAGCAGGUGAGAGCAACUGACUGCUCUUCCAAAGGUCCUGAGUUCAAAUCCCAGCAACCACAUGGUGGCUCACAACCAUCCGUAAUGAGAUUGUCAUGACAUCCUCUUCAGAUAGUAGUGUCUGAAGACAGCUACAGUGUACUUACAUAUAAUAAAUAAAUCUAAAAAAAAACAAAAAAACAAACAAACAAAAAAAAAACACCUCUUCUAACUCACAUCUAUACCUUCCUCCUGUACCAAGUCCUGACCAUGCUAGGACGCCUUGCCCAUAGAGCAAGAUGCUGUGGGUGUAGUGACAUACAAACAUAAUCCAAGCCCUGAGAAGGUUGUGGCAGAAGGAGUUCAAGGCCUACAUAGUGAGACACUACUUCAAAAAAAGAGGGGGGUGGGGGGCAGGAGCAAACCUUUAGCCAGUUAGUCAAAGACCAGAAGUUGAGGAAAAUAAAGAACAGCACACAGAUUAUUCACAGUUACAUGAGCCUAGAAGACGAGACGACAUUAGAAAAAGCCAAACGAACUUCUGCCUACAGGUAACCAUUAAGCUACAUCAGAAAAACUAAAAACAGUCACGCCCUUUUCAGCUCCAGUAGGAGGGGAAUCCCAGGCUGGUCCAAAUCAGCAAAGAGAGACUGAUACAGCGCCCAGCUUUGCCAAGGCCAGCCUGGCACUAAUCACCAGCCUCCAAUCUGGACUGCAGACUUCUAGACAGCCAAAAUAUCUAGGGUCUGCCGGGCGUGGUGGCGCACGCCUUUAAUCCCAGCGCUUGGGAGGCAGAGGCAGGCGGAUUUCUGAGUUCCAGGACAGCCUGGUCUACAAAGUGAGUUCCAGGACAGCCAGGGCUAUACAGAGAAACUCUAUCUCGAAAAAUCAAAAAAACAAAACAAAACUAGGGCCUGCAGAUCCCAUUCACAUACCUCAGCAACCAGGAGCUACCACAACAUGUCAGCUAAGGGUCAAAGACCUCUCAGCUCUACUGGACAAGAGCAGUGGUACCUGCAGUGGCCUUUCUCCUUUGCUGCUGUUCCUCACACUUCAUUUCGCAGGCUGAGUGACUGCACUAGCUACCACUCGUAGAAUAGUGGUAGAACUCUAUAAUCAACCAGCAGAGUAUCCCACCCACAGAAACCUGAGGGAGAACCACGAAAGAAGUCCUACAUGUCUCCUUUUCCAGGGACCCUGUUCAGGACCGUGUUCAGGACAAAGAAGACAUGUUUCCCGCCAUAGGAACUGGGAUGAACCUGGCAUCCUCCUAGAAGCCAGGGAUGUACCUGAACAAAGAGGCGGUUUUUUCCGAGCGACCGUUAUCACGUGACGCAAUGGAGCAGGGGUGGGCCCUUCUGACGACUCCAGUUCGUGUGCGUUCCUGGGAGUGCGCGUGCGCCAUGAUUCGAAGUCAGUCUCCGUACCUUGAUCCACACUGCAUUGAAAGACUGGCACAUGCGGUUGUCAACACUGGUCCAGGGCUCCUACUCACGCUGUCAGGCUGCUGAGCCAUCUCACCGUUCCUCAUUUUUGUAUUUUUGAGAUACAGUUUUGCUAUUUUACCCACACUGGCUUUAAACUCGAAGAUUCUGCCUCCACUUUGAUAUCGCUAGAUUACAAAUAAGACCAUGUCACUAGGCAACUGAGGGUUUAAUAGAUUGCCCCUGUGUUAAGAGUGCUUAGCGCCGGGCAGCCGUAGCGCAGGCCUUAAUCCUAGCACUUGGGAGGCAGAGGCAGGAGGAUUUCUGAGUUCGAGGCCAGCCUGGUCUACAAAGUGAGUUCCAGGACAGCUAGGGCUACACAGAGAAACCCUGUCUCGAAAAAAAAAAAAAAGAAAAAGAGUCCUUAGCAUAGGAGGCCGUGGGUCAGACCCCCGUACCACACACACAAAACAGGCAAAUUCCAGGCAAGGAUGAACAGAACAAAGCUCUCAAACUCCCAGGUCCGGAGCUCUUCAUAUCUGGUGUCCAUCUAUAGGGAUUUAUUGCUGCUAUCAGAGUUGGUGUCUGGCUUUUUUUCUUCCUUCCUAGGUUUUAGAGACCUACCUCACCAAAGUCUGAACUUGAGGAAAAAGUUCUAAAUGAACCCAUUUGUAGGAGACCUGAGGUGCUUCUGAUCUGGAAUACGCUCUAAAUGACACACCUGUUCUAACAGCGCCGCCAAGUGGUAGACAUGGUUAAUACGGUUUGCCUGAGGGUUUUCAGAUGGAUUUUUAAUUCCUUUUUUUAAUGUGUUUAGUGUUUUGACUGCGUGUAUGUCUGCAACAGGUUGUGUCUGUGCAUCACAUAUGUGCCAGGGUCCACUGAAAGUCAGAAGAGAGUGUUGAAUCUUCCAGAACUGGAGUUACUUCUGAGGCGCCUCCCCAGCCCCUGCAGACAGACUGAACAGUUCCAUAACUGGUUCCAGGAGGCCUCCCCCUUUUGAGGUCAAUCGCCUCAGUCUAUGGAUCUUGUCACACAAAUCCUACUGGAGGUGGUGUGGUACUCCUCUCCUCCAGUCUCCUUGGUUUCAGAACACUUAACUCCAGAGGGAGUCUCACAGCAUCCCUGGAGACUGCAGUGAGCGCUCCUUCAACAGACAAAGUUAAUCAAGAGACUGAUAUUUGUCUCAGCGAAUUGAACGUCUUCAGAACUGGGAAUAGUGCACCUCUGAAGAGAUUCCUGGGUCCCCUGCCAGGGGACAAGGGGACUGUGAUACUCAGAACCAUGGUCUCUGACUAGAAGACGAUACUAGGCUGGACCUCCAGACCAUGUAAGGAUAGACCAGCCACUACCCAGAGAAUUAGGAAGAGCCAAGGGGGUUUAAGCAUCCUGCAAACUAUUGCAUCUAAAGCUUUGGUGAGAGGUGGCACUGGCCUCCGAAGCCAAGCCUCAAAGGGAUUCCAAGACGCUGGUACUGUGGUCCUUUAAGGUUGGUAAUUACAAGUUAUGAAAGUUAAAGGAUUUAAAUACUUAAGAUACUAAUGAAAAAAUAAUUUAAAUAUAACUCUGAACUCACCAAGAUAAGAUAGAUAAUAAAAUUGUUAUUCAAAGUUGCCAAA